AAACAGUUAUCCCCUUGUCCUCUAAGUACAAAUCCUUAUAAAAGUCUUGUUCUAUAUUUCUUAUAAUCUCCCUUGUAACUGAAAGACCACGGUAAGGUCUCCCCAAAACAGUGUCAAUGGAAUAACCGUGGACCUAUUUCCAUAUUGGAUUAAUAAGUCACAUUUAAAGGUAUAUAUAAAAUCAUGGGAAUCAACACAAUCAGAACACAAAAUUUCAUAAAACAAGGGCAUCUAAUAUUCACCUAUACAUAGUAUCUUUUAAAAUAUAAAAGAUCUGUGUUUGGUUUUUGGAAUGUGUCUCACUGAAUGGAUAUGGUUGGAAGGCACUAUGGUAGGUUUCAACCUUCCUGCUCAAACAGGGUCAUCCUAGAGCACAAAGCACAGAAUUGCAUUCAGACAAUUCUUGAAUUUUCCCAGUGAAGGAGACCCCACAGCCUCUCUGCACAGUCUGUCCCAGUGCUUAGUCAAGUUCUUCUUUGUAUUCAAAUGGGAGGUCCUGUGCAUCCAUCUGUGCCCAUUGCCUCUUGUCCUACUGCUCAGCACCACUGAGCAGAGCCUGGAUCCUUCCUCUUGAUGCCCUCCCACCAGGUAUUUACUGACAUUGAUCAGGACCCCUUUCAGUCAUCUCUCCUCUGGGCUGAACAGGCCCCGCUCACUCAACCUUUCCUCAUAAGAGGAAUGAUCCAGUCCCCUCAUCACCUUGUUGCCAUCCACUGAACUUGCUCCAGCAGCUCCAUGUCCUUUUUGUGCUGACAGGCUUAAAAGUAGACAAGCACUCCAAAUGUGUCUCACCAGGGUUGAACAGAAGAGCAGGAUGAUCUCCCUUGACCUGCUGGCAGUGCUCUUCCUUGUGCACCCAGGAUACCACUGGCCUUCUGGGCCACAAGCGCAAAAUUUUGGGUUUUUUUCAUUCAGGUGCAGUUCAGAGCAUCUACCAACCAGCAGUGAGAUGUCAAACCAAUCAAAGCUUGGCAGAGAGCUACCAUCAGCAUUCCGGAUGUGGUUGUCUUUGUGUCAAAUGUAGUAGGGAUAGAAGUAAUAUUCUGGCUUACUUUACACAUAAAAAUGUGUGAAUUUUGCAUUAAAAAACUAAAGGUUUGGUGGUAAUACAGUGCAUUAUUUUUCACUUACUGAAAUGUACACUCUACUGCCAGUUAAAGAUUCUGACUAGUGCUGUCAAACAAGCAAUCUGAUUUCAGAGGAACGAUGUAAUUAAAACUACUGCUGGUGGGCAUCUGGAACACAAUGGGACUGCUUCUAUUGUAACAGAUUGUAACAGAGAUGUAAAGAAGUAAUUGAAUAGAGAAUUUUUUCAUCUGCAGCUAUCGCUACAAUACGGAUCAAGUAAAUUAUACAUUGCGGGUACAUUGUGUGGGUGUGCAGGGGAAGUGAGAGUGUAGCUCAGUCCUGACAUUUAACUGACAUACGUCAGUUCUGCAUUGCUUCCCAGCCUAGCCAGGUUUUUGCUACAGCCCUUAUGGUGAUAGCAGUGAUAGAGCCACAAAAUAAGCAGUAUUCCUCCUGGAAAUAAAGAGGAAGUAAAGAGGGUAAGGAAGCAAGGCAGAGGGCCACCUCUUCAAAGUGGUUCUAACUGGUACACCAAUAGGUGUACCUAUUAAAUAAACCUAUUAAAAUAACAACUUAAUGUUUUACCAUAUUCUUAAUGUUUUUCUUCUGUUUCUAUUCCUCUCCUUUAAAUUUACACAAGCUAACUCUAAACCUUGCAAUAUAUUCUCCUAUUCACCAGCUGUCACUCAGAUUUACCUUGCUCAUACCUCAAUACUAACUUGGUCCAAUGCUUCCUUCAGAAGUCACAGAGCACAUAGGGUGGUAGACACUGACACCAGAGCUUUCUCCUGCCACACCUGAGGACACCUCACAGCACCAUAGCAAUGACCUGUCUUGCACCAAACUACUUCACAUCACCAGAUAGAUUUAGGACAAGCUUCCAUGAGGUACCAAACUGGAAGAGAUACCAUUUGGGUGGCUUAGUAAAAUACCUCCACAGACAAAACCUUCUAUUUCAGUACUGAGAGACUAGACCUGACAAUACAGCUCAGUACUGUGACAUAAGGCAAAUCACAAUCACAACACAGUGAUUAACAUUAACAGAAUGAUCAAGCAUUCACAUGUCUAAUGCUAAGGCCAGAGGUGUUCUUCACAAUAAAAAUGUGCCCAAGAGCAGCAUGACUGAGGCUGCCCUGGAAAGAAAAGCCAUAAGCCAGUGUGACUCCGUACUGACAGGUGAAACCAGUAUUUUAACACCUUUCAAUGUCUCUGGAGUAUUCAUAUCAUACCAAAAGAGCCCUGCUGCCAAACACUGAAAUUACUGACCCAGCUUGUAAGUGCUGAUGAGAAAAAAAGACCAGGAGUCUCAGCAACAGGUCCUAAAAUUCCUUCUACCAGUCUGAUAUGGGGGAAUCAGGAUUUCGCUAUCCAUGAGGGCUCAAAACCCAAGUACAGACAAACAGCUUGGAAGGGUAGAAUUGCUUCAUGAAUUAGUCUGAAAGAAACCUCAAGUAAAUAAUUCAUUCAGGACAUGCUUCUGUGUUCCCAGUAUUCCUGUAUGCCCCUCACUUGAUAUUCAGUCAACCGCUGUCUGCUUAAUGCAGUUGUCACUUUGUAUUGUAAUUUGACAUAAUUUUAACGCCUUACUGUGUUAAAAAAAAAUUGACAAGAUGCUAGGCACAAUUCAGAACCAGCAAGAGGUUCCUUGUUGGACUCAUGAAUCAGCUGCACAAAUCAGUGCAAGGGUUUUUGUAAACACACAAAAAAGCAUGCUUGCUAAGAGAAUGCAAGUCUAUUAUAAAAUAGAAAGGUUGGCUAUUUUUUGGAAAGCGAUAAGCCAGAGCUACAGCUGAAAGCAAGUACACAAAACUCAGAAAAAUAAAUUUAAAAAGUUAAAAAGCUUAAUAUGGAAUCCAAAUCAGAUAUUCAUAUUUGGCAUGGCAAAAAGGGUUCUUUAAGCAUUCAUAAUAGUAGUUUUGUUUCCAUGGCUUCUAUUGGAAAGACUCUUCUUGGAAAGAAAUAAAACAUCCAUGAGGGAAGCUUGCUUUUUAGGGAAAAGGAGUAUACCAGAAUCUAAAAUUCUAACACACAUUAGUCUUGAUUUUCAUCCUGAAAGUGACAAAAUCAAUAAGUUUCAGACACAAUGGCAUGUUACAUCAUGACAUGAUUAAAUUUUAUUUUUUUGCGUAAUUUACUUACUUUGAGUUACACUAAGUUGACAAAAAUCUCCAAACAGCAGUCUUAAAAUGAUGACUUUUCAGAUAGGAAUGUAACUUAACUCUAGAACAUUCCACUGACUUGCUCUGAGGUUCUAUCAACAAAGGGACAGUACAUCAUUAUCAUUAAUAAAUUGUUACCACUAUACUGACAUUACACAAAAAUUAAAAAUAAAAAGAAAUCCCCAUUGUGUGCCAAAGAGUUUAGUCUGAAACCAGCUGUAGUAAUGCUAAGCACCCUGACAGUAGCAGAUAGCUUCUACACAAGUUAAAAUAGGAGAUUAAGGUCAACAUAUGGGCAUUUGCAGUAAAGUCACAAGCUGAGAAAAAAAA